GAGGUCACAGUUUGGGAGACUUACACUGCUUUCUCCAAAAAAUUGUUUUUUGUAUUUUCAUAAAAGAUAUCAGCAGAAAAUAAAGCAUCCUCCCCACUAGCCAACCAAAAAGAGGAGAAGAAGAGGGGAGGAGAGAAGAAGUAAAUGACUGGUGGACGGACUCGGAUAAAACACAGACAAUCUCCUGAAAGGAAGCCGACUGGCGGUAUGGACCCUCUGAGGGGCUACAACCAAACUGAAGAGGAGAGCUCAUCCUCCUGAUACAACCUCCCAGUCUCAACUGAGGGACCAACACAGGUGAUCCUGAUAGAUCCAGAUUAAUGAUCAUUAUCCAGAACAGUAGACAAGGCUCCUAGAUCACACAGAACUUUCCAGAUAAUCUGACCUCCUCAUAGCACGUCCUCCUUAUUCUUGUUUCCAUAGAAACAAAGAGUCGUAUUGUAAAGCUCAGGGUAGCUGCACACCAUCAGUUUGUCCCCCAUUUUACUCAUAAAUCAACCUCCACCAGUCUGCUGUAGACAGAUGUCACCAGGGGAUCUCAAUGCUGAUUGGCUGUCACAGUGUUUGUGAUUGAUGACUGUUCACCCAGGACUAUCACCGUAUUUAUUUACUAAGGUCAGAAGUGCCACUCAAUGGUCAGGUUACAGUAGUUCAGACGGGCUAAUGCAGUUUGAAUAUGAACUCCUCCAGAGUUCAGGGAUUUCAGGUCAGAUCUAACAGCGGCCUCUCACAGUAGCCUCCCAUUAAACACAUCAGCUCAUCCAGAGCCUGAUCGUCUGGUUAUAAUCAGAGCCUGUUCUGUAGAUGCGGUCCUUAUGUUCCUGACCCUGGUUCAGACAUUAGAUAGACCAUCAACAGAGCCAGCGUGCAGACAAUGAUUGUGCAGAGGUGAAGUCAUCUGUCAGGGAGAGAUUUUAGGAGAUAGUGGAGGAAAUCCAAAACCAGAUCCAGAAUGGAGGCAUCUGUGUUUCUGUUCACAUACAGAGAGAGCUGGAGGCUGACUGCAGCCAUACAGGCUCAUAAUAAAUACACACACACAAACACAAUCACACACACAGCUGAGCAGUGAUGUAGGCUGACAGCCACACAAACAAACAGAUGCUCACCCUCUCCACCCACCCCUUUCUCUCCCCCCCUCUCUCUUUCUCCCUCUCUCUCCCCCUCUCUCUUUCUUUCUCACCCCUUUCUCUCUCUCCAUCUGUGUAAUGACAUCUCACGCUUCGUUUGGGCCCGGCUGCAUAAUUAGCGCUCUUCCAGCUGAUGGAUGGCGCUGCAGCACCUUCACCCUGCCAACCUUGGCCUCACCUCGGGCCAGGCUGAAGAGGCUCGGGUCCGAAAACAUAAAAGUGAACAGAAACUGAACUGAAUUGUGGACUAAACAUACAAAGUUUACUUUGUUUGCUCUUCAGUGAAGUCACAAACUUGUAAGAGCUGAGGAGAGGGUGCACUUCAGUUUAUGUUGACAGAUUAUUGAUUUAAAGUCAAAACAAAGAUAGAGCAAAACAUGAUUUUAUAAACUUUAUAAGAGACAUAAUUUAAGUUAACAUUAAAUGAACACCAGUUAACAUUAUUGACUGACAGUCAUCAUUGAUUACUAUUUAUGGUCAAAUUGAUUAAUUAUCUAUAUCAGCAGCCCUGAGACUGAAACGUCUUCAGAGAAGACCUGAUAAAACAAUUGUUUCUCCCGCUAUUCAAAAUUUCAUGAAUCAUAGAUGCAGUAACCACUGUAAAGGACCGUUAGGAUAAAGUCCUAAAGCCAAGUAGUGAUUUUACUCCCGUAAACGUUCAAAUAAGAUUCUGGUUCCUCUACAACGUUACCAGAAAAAUAUUUGAUUCAGCGAACAAAAUAAAAAAUUGCUUUAAGUGAGGUCAUGUCUGAGUUAUUAAUAUAUAAUUGAAAAAGGAAAGGUCUCAGGGUUGAGCCUUGAGGGACCCCAUGAGAAAUCAAUCUGUGCAGUGUUGCUCCAAUGCCUUUGAUUUCUGGUCCUGGUUUUAAAAUCCAUUAAAAAGAAUAAAUAAAAGCAUUCAAAUAUCUCCUGAGUGUCCGUGACAGGGGUGUGAAUUGUGUUAAUUUAUGUCCUCCUGUUUUUAUUGUGGUCCAGCGUCUGUGUUUUAUUGUUUUUCAUUUUUACAGUACAGUGCUUUGGUUAGCUUUUUUUGUUGUUUGUUUUUAAAUGUGCUUUAUAAAUUUUCUUGGAUUGGAUUAGUAACUAUCCAUCUUUACACAUUACUUUGUGCUCAUGUGUGUGUUAAUAUGACAAAGGGUCUGGGAGCUUCUACUCUUUGUCUUUCCACAGGAAUGAUAGACAAUGCACUAAAGACCACAUCUAUCUAAUCAAACUUUAUUAGCCUGAAUGUAUUUGAAUCCCUGUAAAUGGGCUAGAGGCCGGACUUCCUGGAUGCUCAUGUUUUCACUGGCAUCCUGUGGAUUUUUAGUUCUGCAAGAGUCAGAACAUUUGGUUGUUUAAACUUUAUGUUGCUGCCGUACUUGGAAAACAUCUUGGACCUCAUGGGACUAACCUGACUGAACCAUAUUCCAAUAAAUGAAUAAAUGUAAAGCAUGAUUCAGUGAUUAAACUGAUCUGAAACAAUAAUUAUGGAACGAUUCAAACUCAUUAAGUGAGUUAAAACUUCUGCUUUCUAUCCUCCAAACUCUGACUGAAAUCCUGGAGAGUGCCUCCUCGUUUGCAGGCAGAUCCCAUGAAUAGUCAAUAAGUUCAAUGUAUUUCCAUAAUGAGUUUUACUUUUGCUCCAAAUGUUUGAUUUUUUUCUUAAUCAGAGUAGGCGUCAUAAUUUCCAAAUGCUGAAAAAUCUCAUCUGGAGUGAAACUUUAGAAACGCAUAGAUGGCUGCAGGGAUGCAGAGCGCGCCAAACUUCCAACGAGGGCACAAAUUGAUUCAUAUGUUUCUGUCCACGAUGCAAAUCAGCGGGGAGACGAGAUAAUGAAGCCCCAGAUGACGGGAACCUGCCAAGCUGCUAAUAGCUGAUACACUGAUCGGUUAGUACGCAGGAAACAUUGAUCAGCUGGAUCAGGAUGCCGUCUGGCUGACGCCUGUGGUGUGUUCGCUGACCUGCCGGACCGACAGCUUCAUCAGUCCAACAGAAAAAUGUGUUUUUUAUAAUGCUGUAUUGGCAAGCGGUCAUUCCAUCAGGGAUACAUGGUUUAUAAUGCUGUGAAAUUUCACACUACUUCAGGUUUAAAGGGUUAUUCCACCAAAUUAGACAAACAAGAACACAAAGGUUUCUGGUUUGUGUUGUGCUUCGAUAUUUUAUGCCAAGAUAUCACCAGAAACUGAUGAAAGAAGAAGAAAUGUGAGACUGAGACUUUGUUUUACAGAUUAAUAUGAUGGUAAAUGAGCAGAAAGUUGGCAGAGAUUUCAUUCGCUCUGACCUCUUGAAUUUUCUGAUUAAUUUUGAUUAAUACAUGCAGGGAAAAACUAAGCCAUCGCUGCUGAGUUUGAGGCUUCAAACGAGUUGGAUCAAGAGCUCAGCUCCUGAAGGGAAUAAAUUUUCUUAUGUAACAGCUCUUUAAAUUGAUGCGGUUUUCCAAAAAAAACAAAACCCACACCACAAUAAACCUUCAAGAAAACAUUUUCUACCAGCUUUCUGCCAGAAAACAAAACAAAACAAAACAAAGUAUCACCAAGCUGCCCCUCUUUGGGAGUCAGGUAUUGAGUUCCUCUUGCAAGUUCUAGGUCAGCCCUGGGGUUUCCACCUGAUUGGACAUUCCUAAGACCUCCAAAGAGAGGUUUUGGGAGGAUGUCUUGCCUGAACCACCUUCUUUCAACUCCUUUAGAAGAAAUAGUAGCUCUGCUCCAAGAUCUGUCAAAAAAAUCUGAAGUUCUCACGCUAUCUCUGAAGCCAAGCCUGUACAUCUGUCAAAGGACGCUCCUUUUAGACACUUGCAUUUACAGUCCCAUUCUUCUACUGGUAUCCAGAGCUCAUGACAAUGCACGUGGAAGAGCAAAACACUCAAAUUUCUCUAUAGAGUAGAGGGACCACUCAAUGGCAUAGGGAUCAUCAGAGCUCAUGUCAUGGGUAUCUUCCACAUCUGUGAAGGCUCCAUUAAUACUGAACAAUAUCUUUAGGUUUAGGAGCAACAUCUGCUGCUAUCCAAACUAUGACUUUUCCAGGGCAGAGUUUCAUAUUUCAGCAAGACAAUGGCAAACCACAUUCUGCAGGGAUUGCAACAGCAUGGCUCUGUACUAGAAGAGUCCUGCUGCUAAACUGGUCUGCCACUGGUCUCCAGGGUUCAAAAAUGCUUACAGAGAGUCGGAAAAUGAAGAGCUGAGGACACACAACGAUGAACAUGAACCUAGAACCACUUUUACAAACAUGCUGCUUCAUCAAAUUAAACCAUGAAAAUAUGUUAUUUUUUAAUAUUUUAUGCAGCGUUUCAUGUUUUUGUACGUCUGAAGGAUGUUGAGACGGUUCAUGAAUUUUAGAGUCAAUGGUAGGAAUUUGGACCAAUUGGUACAUAGAGAGCUCUGCCUCUGGGUCUCGAAGAAACCCUCUUCUUUAUCAUAUAAGAUGUCAUGUUGGAAGCAGGUGGGGAGCUGUUUUCAGAGUCGGAUGCAGACAGCUGUCAUGGAAACAGACACCACUUUGUUCAGUGCUGCCAUCUCUGUGUGCAGCUCCUCCUCUGCCACCUCCAUCAGCAUAGCGCUGAGCCCAGCCCUUCUUUCUCUAGAUUCAGGAUCAGAUAGGAAACGAUGUCAAUGGAUAGAAAGAAGAAGUAAUUUGAUGAUGAAUGCUGGAGAGGAGAGCAGGAACCAAACCUAUGAGCAACCCCUUCAGAGCCAGAUGUGCACUGAUAAUCAAAGAAAUGAGACCGACUUAAGGUUUUCCAGCAUUCAGCUGCUGUUCUUAUCCUGCACAAUGGAAAGAGAGCUCUUCAAGUGUUGUUACUGAAACCUCUGAAAACCUAGAUUAGAUGGUGACUCAGACAUGGCCUCAGAAACCCCAGACUUAGAUAAACCCUGAUGGAUUCAGAAAACAAAGAGCAACUCAAACAUGAUUUAAAACUCGAAAAGUAUGUUAGCUUUUCCAUAUGGUACUUUAAAACUACUCAUCACCAGGUUGGGACUGACAGUCUGGGACUGGGACUGGGACUGGGACUGACAGUAUGGUGGUUUAAUCUUCAAAGGGGGACUAAAUGACAAAAAAUUAAGCAUAAAGUGAAAAUUGGAACGGUUUCAUAAAGAAUAGAUCCACCCAAACGGCAGCAGCAGUAAAAACAAUAACAACCAUGGGAAAAACAGCAGAACAACAUUAGAUUAUUGACGGCAAAAAAUCCUUUGAUUCUGUGAAUCGUGAUUUUCUCCUUUCCAAAACAUGGUCACACGAUCUCAAAGGUUCAUCCAACAACAGGACAAUGAGCAUCAAUAGCAACAGAAAGAGUGGAUACAUCUUGAACACUAUAAAUCACACCUACAGGAUGUCACUAAAGGGGUGUCACAAGGAGCUUUCGUAAAACCCAAACUCUUCACACUGUACAGAAAUGAUAUAUGUAAUAUUCUGAAUUAUGUGCUUUUGUAGAUAUUUACUUUUAACUGUUCACUGAUCCAAGGAGGACUUAAAAACCCUGAUGAGUCUCUGAGGGAAGACCAGAGCAUAAUACAAGUACGCACAGAGCUGAUGAAGAGGUAGAACUGAUGGCUUUAUAGAUGGAAAUAAACGUGAACAUAACCGUGAAAACUCUUUUUUUUAUAAAUGUAGAUCGUUUUUUGUUUGUUUUAUUGCUGUUGAAUGGUGGUUAUUAGGUAGUUGGUGUUGGUCUACAACUGGGAUCUCAUAAAGUCUAGAUUUAAACAACGACUUGACCAUGGGCUCAAAGAUUUCUGGAUUAUCAAGAAUCCUUUUAGCCCUAAAGGAGAGUCCAUGCCACAUGUCCAGAGGGGUUGAGAGCACACCUGUUGGUCACAGCAUGAUGUGAGAAGUUAACAAAAAGAGGGAGAACUAAAGUCAGACUUAGUAGAAGCCGGAGUUGCUUCCGAACUUCAGGGAAUAAAUCAUGACUUCAAACCACCGUUUCCUUUAAAACUCAGACACUCGGUUUUUGACUCCUACAGAACAUCAGUGACCGUGAUCUGGACUAAAGCAGGUAAUUUAGCACCUUCUGGUCCAAACCAAACCGAGACACAAAGCCAAGUUUGUGGACUUAAACUAAGUGACUCUGAAACAUUAGCACAGCCGGCUGAGCAGCCGAAUGUCUGCAUGAAGUUUUCUUUCUUUCUUUCUCUGCGAGCACUUUGGCGAACAUCCCCCGCUCUGUGUCAGACGGUUUGUGGUGUCAGAGAGUUGAUCAACCCCAGCAGAAGAUUCCAGUUUAUUUUAGAGGCUGCUGGUCUAAAAAUUGACAAACCCUGUCAGUGAAGUGUGAGCAGGAUGGCUCUAAUGUCUGGUUUGUUAAGUUUCUGUGGUUUCUCGGUCUUCCUCCCCUCCAGCGGGGCAGCAGUGGACCAAUGCCAGAGCUGCAGUCUGCUGAGGAGAAAUGUGUGGAUGUGAUGAGGAGGAGUGCUAACGAGGCUCAGCCAGCUAGGAGGUGAAGCUGCUGCGAGGUGACCUUUGACCUCAGAGACGCGCUCUCUCUCAGACUGGGCUGCCUCUGGCGGGGUCGUGGCGCCCCACGCUCGCCGGGAGGCAGCAACCGGGGUCAGAGUGAAGAACCCCGAGCCUCCGUCCUGCCGUUUCCAACAUCGACACGACCAAUCGACCGGCCGCAGGAGGACGGAGGAGGAAGAGGAGGUGGAGGAAGAGAGCUGGAGAGGAGGGGGAGCCUUUAAUUUCUCUGUCUCUUCUCUCCAUCAGCUGAACAAAUUAGUUUUUAAAACAUGCGAGAGAAAGAGGAGAAACUGCGGCAGAAGAAAUACUCUUGAUAAGUCAAAGUAAAAGAAGCCAGGAUGAAGCUUAUCAGAGUGUCAAGAGUAAAAGAGGAAAAUAAAAACACUCAGACUUUCAUGAAGGACAGACUCUUCAUCCCAAAGCCUUUCACCUGAGCAUCCCCAACAUUUUCAGGAUUUUACAUGAGCUGGACCCGAAAUGUUCGUAAGUUUCUCAGUCACACACAUCCCUCAAAAUGUGAAGCUUUGCCUGUCUUUAAAGAGGGCCGAACUGAGUCUCAGGAGGCAGGUCUGAAAGUCUUGCAGUGAAAGUUACAAAGUGUCUAACAGGACAGAAAACGAAGCAGCGGAGACCUUGAAUGACAACGACAGUUUUUACUUUUACAGCUUUAUUGUAAACACCCAACUGUGCUGUUCUCGUCCU